AUUAAGCCAUGCAUGUCCAAGUAUAAACACGUUGUACUGUGAAACUGCGAAUGGCUCAUUAUACCAGUUAUAAUUUAUUUGAUAGUCUCUUACUACUUGGAUAACCGUGGUAAUUCUAGAGCUAAUACAUGCGGAAAGCCCGACUUUGCGGAAGGGCUGUAUUUAUUAGAUUAAAAACCAACACGCUUGGUGAUUCAUGAUAACUGUGCGGAUCGCAUGGCCUUGCGCCGGCGACGUUUCAUUCAAAUUUCUGCCCUAUCAACUGUCGAUGGUAGGAUAGGGGCCUACCAUGGUUUUUACGGGUAACGGGGAAUUAGGGUUCGAUUCCGGAGAGGGAGCCUGAGAAAUGGCUACCACUUCCAAGGAAGGCAGCAGGCGCGCAAAUUACCCAAUCCUGACACAGGGAGGUAGUGACAGUAAAUAACAAUGCAGGGCCCUCCGGGUCUUGCAAUUGGAAUGAGUACAAUUUAAACCCCUUAACGAGAAACAAUUGGAGGGCAAGUCUGGUGCCAGCAGCCGCGGUAAUUCCAGCUCCAAUAGCGUAUAUUAAAGUUGUUGCAGUUAAAAAGCUCGUAGUUGGACUUUAGGCGAGGUGGCCUGGUCUGCCGUCAGGCAGUACUGGGUUCGCCAAACCUCACCUUCGGGGAACUAGUGCCUCGUGCGCUAGGGAACCGAGCCUUACUUUGAGAAAAUUAGAGUGUUUAAAGCAGGCUUACGCUUGAAUACUUCAGCAUGGAAUAACAACAUAGGACUUUGGUUCUAUUUUGUUGGUUUGAGGACCAAAGUAAUGAUUAAUAGGGACAGUUGGGGGCAUUAGUAUUCAGUAGUCAGAGGUGAAAUUCUUGGAUUUACUGAGGACUAACUAAUGCGAAAGCAUUUGCCAAGGAUGUUUUCAUUAAUCAAGAACGAAAGUUAGGGGAUCGAAGACGAUUAGAUACCGUCGUAGUCUUAACCAUAAACUAUGCCGACUAGGGAUCGGUGGAUGUCGCUUUUGACUCCAUCGGCACCUUACGAGAAAUCAAAGUUUUUGGGUUCUGGGGGGAGUAUGGUCGCAAGGCUGAAACUUAAAGGAAUUGACGGAAGGGCACCACCAGCAGUGGAGCCUGCGGCUUAAUUUGACUCAACACGGGGAAACUUACCAGGUCCAGACAUGGGAAGGAUUGACAGAUUGAUAGCUCUUUCAUGAUUUCGCGGGUGGUGGUGCAUGGCCGUUCUUAGUUCGUGGAUUCAUCUGGCAACUUGAUUGUGGUAACGAACGAGACCUCUGUGGGUAGUUGUUAUCAUUUAUUUAGAUAAAUGAUGGGGUCUACUCAGACUGCUGGUGCGAGCCAGAGGAAGUUGGAGGCGAUAACAGGUCUGUGAUGCCCUUAGACGUUCUGGGCUGUACGCGCGUUACACUGACAGAGGCAACGAGUAUACAACCUUGACCGGAAGGUCUGGGCAAUCUUUUUAAACUCUGUCGUGCUGGGGAUAGAGCAUUGCAAUUAUUGCUCUUCAACGAGGAAUUCCUAGUAAGCGCAUGUCAUCAGCAUGCGUUGAUUACGUCCCUGCCCUUUGUACACACCGCCCGUCGCUACUACCGAUUGAAUGGCUUAGUGAGGCCUUCGGAUUGGUGCUUGGUGGCCGCAAGGCUGCCGAGUGCUGAAAAGUUGUCCAAACUUGGUCAUUUAGAGGAAGUAAAA
rnacentral:rRNA from 1 species